rnacentral:misc_RNA from 1 species
AUGAGGUUAAGGAAGUGAGAUAAGGAGGAAGAAGAAAAUAAUAUGAGGUUUAAAUAUUGUAAAAGAUUGGAGAGUUUUAGUUUUUUAUGAAAGAAAAUUUAUAUUUUAUUAUUGAAUAGAAAUUUAUUUUAAAAAUUUAGUUGAAUAUUUUUAUUUUAUAAAUGAAUUUUAGGAAUGUUUAUGAUUUUUUUAUGUUAUAUAGAGAGUGGUUGAAAGAAGUUAG